GAUGAACGCUGGCGGCGUGCCUAAUACAUGCAAGUCGAGCGAACGGACGAGAAGCUUGCUUUUCUGAUGUUAGCGGCGGACGGGUGAGUAACACGUGGAUAACCUACCUAUAAGACUGGGAUAACUUCGGGAAACCGGAGCUAAUACCGGAUAAUAUUUUGAACCGCAUGGUUCAAAAGUGAAAGACGGUCUUGCUGUCACUUAUAGAUGGAUCCGCGCUGCAUUAGCUAGUUGGUAAGGUAACGGCUUACCAAGGCAACGAUGCAUAGCCGACCUGAGAGGGGGAUCGGCCACACUGGAACUGGGCCACGGUCCUGGCUCCUACGGGAGGCAGCAGUAGGGAAUCUUCCGCAAUGGGCGAAAGCCUGACGGAGCGACGCCGCGUGAGUGAUGGAGGUCUUCGGAUCGUAAAACUCUGUUAUUAGUGAAGAACAUAUGUGUAAGUAACUGUGCACAUCUUGACGGUACCUAGUCAGAAAGCCACGGCUAACUACGUG
rnacentral:rRNA from 1 species